rnacentral:rRNA from 1 species
AUGUUCUUCUGGCUUAUUGCUAAAAAAUGUGUGUUGACCAAAGAUAAUCUAAUAAAAAAAGGGUGGCGAGGGAGGCAGGGCUGUGUGUACUAUGGACAAGAUGAAACCAUAGAUCAUCUGUUCUUCACUUGCUCUGCUGCUAGACUUUUGUGGAGCCUAAUAAAAUGUUUAUUUAAUUUGAACAAUCCCAAAUGGGGUGGACGAUUGUUUGGGAACUUGGAUCAAAAAAUUUGUUAA